AACCAGCUCUUCAAGUGGUCGGGAUAAUUAUUGGGCUUAAAGUGUCCGUAGCCGGAUUAGUAAGUUCCUGGUAAAAUCGGGUAGCUUAACUAUCUGUAUGCUAGGAAUACUGCUAUUCUAGAGGGCGGGAGAGGUCUGAGGUACUACAGGGGUAGGGGUGAAAUCUUAUAAUCCUUGUAGGACCACCAGUGGCGAAGGCGUCAGACUGGAACGCGCCUGACGGUGAGGGACGAAAGCUAGGGGAGCGAGCCGGAUUAGAUACCCGGGUAGUCCUAGCCGUAAACGAUGCAUACUAGGUGAUGGCACGGCCAUGAGCCGUGUCAGUGCCGUAGGGAAACCGUUAAGUGUGCCGCCUGGGAAGUACGGUCGCAAGGCUAAAACUUAAAGGAAUUGGCGGGGGAGCACCACAAGGGGUGAAGCCUGCGGUUU
rnacentral:rRNA from 1 species